UCAAAAUAGUCUUGCGUCAGCUUGAAAAUAAUGUUGGUAUCAUCUCUAAAACGGAGAAAUCCAUAAGAGUGCUUUUAAUAAUAAGAUUAGCGCUAUUGUAUGGGGCCUUUAGAUUCUUAAAGGUGUGUCUCUCCAUUAAAAACUCCGUAGCCAUACAAGUUUGAUCCUCACUUUCACCAAUUGAAUCUCAUUCCAAUUUCUAGAGCGGUUCAUAUCAUACAGUGUAAGCUAGAACCAGCGAUCUAAAAAAAAGAGGAUAAGAGUGAAUUGAUGAAAUCAAUUGAAGAUCCAAAACUUUAUUGUUCGCAGCGUUGGAGCGACCAAAAAGCGAACUUUCACAAUUUGAACCAUUCCAUGUGCGAAAAAAACAGCAUUAUGAAUUAAUUUCGUUCCACUCAACCCUUUUACCAUAGCAUCAUUCGCAAAGACGUGAAUGGAAAAAAUAAUAUUAGACGUCUACAAAUUGGCAAAAGGACAUUGCAGGUCAUCAAU